GCCUGUAACAUAACAUUAAUGCAAUAGAUCCUAUUAGAACUCCACAGUUAAGCGCGAUCAUUCUAGAGUAGUAUUGGGAUGGGUGAAUGCACAGGAAGUUCUAGUGUUUUACAUUCC
rfam:Picea glauca, whole genome shotgun sequence.